rnacentral:misc_RNA from 1 species
GAUGAAGAACGUAGCGGAAUGCGAUAAGUAAUGUGAAUUGCAGAAUUCAGUGAAUCAUCGAAUCUUUGAACGCACAUUGCGCCCAUUAGUAUUCUAGUGGGCAUGCCUGUUCGAGCGUCAUUUCAACCCUUAAGCCUAGCUUAGUGUUGGGAAUCUGCUGUAUUGCAGUUCCUCAAAUACAACGGCGGAUCUGUAACAUCCUCUGAGCGUAGUAAAUUUUUAUCUCGCUUUUGUUAGGUGUUGCAGCUCUCAGCCGCUAAACCCCCCAAUUUUUGUGGUUGACCUCGGAUCAGGUAGGAAUACCCGCUGAACUUAAGCAUAUCAAUAAGCGGAGGA